rnacentral:rRNA from 1 species
CCUACGGGUGGCAGCAGUAGGGAAUCUUUCACAAUGGGCGAAAGCCUGAUGGAGCAACGCCGCGUGCAGGAUGAAGGCCUUCGGGUUGUAAACUGCUUUUAUAAGCGAGAAAUAUGAUGGUAACUUAUGAAUAAGGAUCGGCUAACUACGUGCCAGCAGCCGCGGUCAUACGUAGGAUCCGAGCAUUAUCCGGAGUGACUGGGUGUAAAGAGUUGCGUAGGUGGAAUAAUAAGUAGCUAGUGAAAUCUGGUGGCUCAACAAUUCAGACUAUUAGCUAAACUGUUAAGCUCGAGACCGUUAGGGGUAACUGGAAUUUCUAGUGUAGGAGUGAAAUCCGUAGAUAUUAGAAGGAACACCAAUAGCGUAGGCAGGUUGCUGGGACGGUUCUGACACUAAGGCACGAAAGCGUAGGGAGCAAACGGGAUUAGAUACCCCUGUAGUC